UCCUCUCUCCCAAAAUUAGAAAAUCAGCCUCUACCAAAGCAUGGACAGUGAGGACUUCCCAGAGAGCCAACAAAAGCAGAUGAGGAGCUUCUCUUUCUCCAGCUGGCACCACAAAAGAUGUUCAGAGCCAAAUGUGGUUUUAGAUUCAAACACCAGAGCUGAUAACGACACGAAUUCCACUUGCAAAUUAAUGCCAGCGAGAGAAAGCCGAGAGGUAAGAGACUCUGACAGGUGGACUGUUGUACUGUGCUCCUGUGCUUGCUGACUUGAAGAAGCUGCAGCACCUUCUCGUUUGGUCAGGGCUUUCUCAGCCUUGUCCCUUUUCUCCUCCUUGGUCCCCUCAGUCCCAGCAGAUCCCUCCUUCCCCUUCACGCCGGCAGCCACUGCAGCCUGAGCAUCCAGCGCCAGCCCGGCAGCUUUGGCAGCAUCUCCACUCCCGUGCACAUCCAUCCCACGGCUCUCCUUGAUCACUACAGUCUCCUCUACCACCGUCUUCACUGCAUCCUGAUGUGGCUGAGUCUCUUGUUUCAUUUCACUGGAAGUCUUCUCCUGAGAUGUUGUCGUGUCUAUUCUCUGUGGAGAAGGAAAAAAACACAACCCUCAGUGUCAGGAGAUGAUGCUCCACCUGGUAGCUCCUCAGCUUAGUGUGCUGUGAAUGCAAAUAAAAGUAACAGGUGUUGCAUUUUGCCAGUUUAUUUCUCUCACAUCACGUGGACUUUCCUUCUCAGGACAUCAUCAGAGUAGUAGAAAUGAAAAAGAAGGCAAGAGUCAUAGUUUUGAAAUUGGAGACAAACAUCACAGUGUUUUUCUCAGAAUUCCAAUGUGGUAAGGGUUGAUGGAAUCUCUGGAGAUCAUCUAAUCCAACCCCCCUGCUAAAGCAGGGUCACCCACUGCAGCUUGCCCAGGACUGCAAUGUCCAG